GCGGUAAUUCAAGCUCCAAUAGCGUAUAUGUAAAUUGUUGCGGUUGAAAAGCUCGUAGUUGGACUUCUGGCGUCCGCGUUCGGUCCGCCAAGCGCGAGCACUGUCCGCGGUCGUCGUCUCUGUCGACGUGGUGCGUCGGCCUUAAUUGGUCGGCACGCCGUCUGUCGGCGAUGUUACUUUGAGGAAAUCAGAGUGCUCAAGGCAAGCGUUCGCUCGUGACUUCACUAGCAUGGAAUAACACAGAUGGGCUCUUUCUCGCACUGUUGGUCUGCGUCAAUUGAGCAACGAUCGAUAGAGACGGUCGGGGGCAUUCGUAUUGCGCAGUUAGAGGUGAAAUUCUCCGAUCUGCGCAAGACGUACUAAUGCGAAAGCAGUUGCCAAGGACGUCCUCUUAUGAUCAAGAGCGAAAGUCGGGGGAUCAAAGAUGAUUAGAUACCGUCGUAGUCCCGACCAUAAAUGAUGCCGACUGAGCUUCGGCGACUCGACCUCAGGUCGGACGUCGGCGCUCUUAGAGAAAUUAAAGUCUUUGGGCUCCGGGGGUAGUAUGGUCGCAAGUCUGAAACUUGAAGGAAUUGACGGAAGGGCACCACAAGGCGUGGAUGUUGCGGCUUAAUUUGACUCAACACGGGAAAGCUUACUAGGUUUGGACACCUUUGUGAUGGACAGAUUGAAGCUCUUACCCUACUGCGUGGAUGGUGGUGCAUGGUCGUUCUCAGCCCGUGGGUUGACCUGUCAGGUUUACUCCGGUAACGCGCGAGACCUCGGUCUGCUAAAUAGACGCGGCUGUCUCGGCACCCGCGCUCUUCUUAGAGAGAGACUCGACGAGAGUCGAGGGAAGUCGAGGCAAUAACAGAUCUGUGAUGCCCUUAGUUAUCCUAGGUCGCACGCGCCAUACAAUGUGGCGCACAACGAGUCUCCUUGGCCGACAGGAUCUGGGCAAUCUGGCAGAGCGCUACGUGACUGGGCUAGACUUUUGUAAUUUUUGGUCUUGAACGAGGAAUGCCUAGUAAUCGCAGGUCAGCAUCCUGCGAUGAUUCGGUCCCUGCCCUUUGUACACACCGCCCGUCGCUCCAUCCGUGGCAUGCGCCGGUGAAGAGGGGGAGGCAGCGUCGGCCGGGUAACACCGGAUCGCACGUGGAACCCCUCUGAACCUUCGCACGUAGAGGAAGGAGAAGUCGUAACAAGGUUUUCGUAGGUGAACCUGCGAAAGGAUCAUUAUCGGCACA
rnacentral:rRNA from 1 species